ACUCGGCCUUCUUGUGUUCAAGUUCAUGCUUGUCUGUCUCGUGUUUAACAUUGCCUUUCUGUUCUCAGAUUGAUGUCCUGCCGUGUAACUCUUCAGCGCUGGUCCUGUUCGGUUCAACUAGGUCAGUCAGGUUUCAUACUCACCUCGCUGCUUGGCCUGCCCUCCUGCCCAUCGUGUCUCUUUCGGAUUUCUCCUCCCUCUGGAGCUCCUGGAACCAGGCAAUCUCCUCUCACGUGACCAGCCCCCUCCUGUGCUAGCCAGCCUCCACCUGCAAAGUUUCCCAUUCUGUUGCUCUCCUUGUGUUUCCCGUGUUUGAACCUUUCCCCGACCUCAACCUUUAAUCCCUCCGAUCAUCUUUUCACCCUCACAACAUACUCACGCUCACCUGGACGCUGGUCUUCUCCGUACUCCACAGCCACGAUUCGUGCUCUUUCCCAGCUUCCCCCGCCCACUGCAACUUGGAUUCUCUGGAUCGUUCCGUCUGGACUCGCAGCAAACGGGUUACUCACCUGAACCUCUCCGACUGCCUCCCCCACGCCGUCCUCUACCUGCUAACCAUCGCAAAAACCAUCAAGCGCUACGACCACACUGGCCCACAUGAGGAUAGUCCCAGGAAAGGAUGCCCAAGAGUCACCUCUGCUGCUGAGGAUAAAUUCAUCCGAGUCACCAGCCUCAGAGUUAACAGCACCUCAGAUUAGAGCCCAGAAAAAUGCCACACAGUUCCAGUAGCAGUCACAUCUGUACAUCAGCUGUUCAGAGGAGACUGUGCAAAUCAGUCCUUUACGGUCAAACAGCUGCUAGGAAAACACUACUAAAGAAAAGAAACAAGAUUUGUUUGGGCCAAGAAACACAAUGAAUGAACAUUAGACCAGUGGAAAUCUGUGCUUUGGUCCGAUGAGUGCAAAUUUGAGAUCUUUGGUUCCAUCUGCCGUGUCUUUGUGUGACACAGAAAAGGUGAACGGAUGGUCUCUACAAGCAUGGUUCCCACCGUGAAGCAUUGAGGAGAGGUUGUGGAAGUGCUUUGGGGAUUUAUUCAAAAUUGAAGCUACACUGAACCGGCAUGGCAACCACAGCAUCCUGUGGCAACAAUUCAUCCCAUCCAGUUUGCGUUUAGUUGGACCAUUUAUUUUUCAACAGGACAAUGACCCCAAACACACCUCCAGGCUGUGUAAGGGAUAUUUGACCAAGGAGAGUGAUGGAGUGCUGCGCCAGAUGACCUGGCCUCCAGUCACCUGACCU